UUGAACCUAUUAUCUUGCAUUCAGAAUGAGAGCCUUUCCAAUGGCGUAAUUAACUUAUAAGAUUUUUUAUUUUCGAUUUUUCAUUUCCUGUAUAUGUGUGUGAAGUUGAACUUGGUCUGAUGUGUUUUAAUACCACAGCUCGUGGACGGCUACUGCAAAAUUCUUUUGAUACAUCAGCAACAAUGCGCCAUCAAGAAUGGUGAUUGUACGAGCAAUAACCGUAAAAUAUACGGAGUGUCCUUUAUAGUGGUUUUAUAUCUUCUUUUUCGCAUAAUUUUUGAUGUGUUCUUGUUAGAAUUCAUAGUGAUUUUCGAUGUUUAUAUAGUUGUGUAUAUAAAGUGGUUUUCAUGUUUAUAUAGUUGUUUUAUACAGAGUGGUUUUCAUGUUUAUAUAGCUGUUUAUACGGAGUGGUUUUCAUAAUGUCAGGCUUUGUCUUUGAUAAUUUAUAGUGGUUUUCAA
rnacentral:lncRNA from 1 species